CCUACGGGGGGCAGCAGUGGGGAAUAUUGGGCAAUGGAGGAAACUCUGACCCAGCGACGCCGCGUGCGGGAUGAAGGCCUUCGGGUUGUAAACCGCUUUCAGUAGGGAAGAAGCGAAAGUGACGGUACCUACAAAAGAAGCACCGGCUAACUAUGUGCCAGCAGCCGCGGUAAUACAUAGGGUGCAAGCGUUGUCCGGAAUUAUUGGGCGUAAAGAGCUCGUAGGUCGUUUGUUACGUCGGAUGUGAAAACCUGAGGCUCAACCUCAGGCCUGCAUUCGA
rnacentral:rRNA from 1 species